rnacentral:rRNA from 1 species
UACGUAGGGUGCAAGCGUUAAUCGGAAUUACUGGGCGUAAAGCGUGCGCAGGCGGCUUUGCAAGACAGAUGUGAAAUCCCCGGGCUUAACCUGGGAACUGCAUUUGUGACUGCAUGGCUGGAGUGCGGCAGAGGGGGAUGGAAUUCCGGCGUGUAGCAGUGAAAUGCAUAGAUAUGACCCGGAACACCGAUUGCGAAGGCAGCCCACUAAGCAAUGAUUGACGCUGAGGCACGAAAGCGUGGGGAUCAAACAGG